AUGAUAAGAUGGAGAAUUCCGAACUAUUAACAAUUUUCGACUUAGCCGCCUUCCUAAAAUAUCGGUUGAGUGGGAUGAAAUAAAUGCUGCAUGGGGUCAGGCAUGCCUUCUCCUCCACACAGUGGCUCAGUAUUUCCGGCAAAAAUUCCCAUAUCGAAUAACAAUUCUUCCUCUUGGAAGUUACCCUCGAAUU